GCGGGGCACCCCGGGCGGGUCGGUUCUAUUACCUCCUCCGCUCUCACCCACCGGGUGCAAGACUCAGAAAGGACAUAGCGAACGCCUCUGGGGCCUGAUGUGAAAGAGUGAAUCAUUGGUUUUCAGUGAAGUUCUUUCUGAAGCAGGCAGAUAGGGGUGAUUUGGCAACGCUUUAAGGUUGCCGUCAACUCGGAAGGCUUUGCAGCUGUUUCGUUUUUCCACGCCCCACCCCCAACCACCGGAAGUCAAACUCCAAGCCGAGUGGAGGUUGCCAGGCAACACUUGAUAGUUGUCUUCUGGGAGCCGGGCCAGACGCUGGCCUAGAACCUAAGUACAUUCCAGGUGAAU